UCGAUUCCCUUAGUAGCGGCGAGCGAAACGGGAAGAGCCCAAACCAACAAGCUUGCUUGUUGGGGUUGUAGGACACUCUAUACGGAGUUACAAAGGACGACAUUAGACGAAUCAUCUGGAAAGAUGAAUCAAAGAAGGUAAUAAUCCUGUAGUCGAAAAUGUUGUCUCUCUUGAGUGGAUCCUGAGUACGACGGAGCACGUGAAAUUCCGUCGGAAUCUGGGAGGACCAUCUCCUAAGGCUAAAUACUCUCUAGUGACCGAUAGUGAACCAGUACCGUGAGGGAAAGGUGAAAAGCACCCCGGAAGGGGAGUGAAAUAGAACCUGAAACCGUGUGCUUACAAGUAGUCAGAGCCCGUUAAUGGGUGAUGGCGUGCCUUUUGUAGAAUGAACCGGCGAGUUACGAUUUGAUGCAAGGUUAAGCAGUAAAUGUGGAGCCGUAGCGAAAGCGAGUCUGAAUAGGGCGUUUAGUAUUUGGUCGUAGACCCGAAACCAGGUGAUCUACCCUUGGUCAGGUUGAAGUUCAGGUAACACUGAAUGGAGGACCGAACCGACUUACGUUGAAAAGUGAGCGGAUGAACUGAGGGUAGCGGAGAAAUUCCAAUCGAACCUGGAGAUAGCUGGUUCUCUCCGAAAUAGCUUUAGGGCUAGCCUCAAGUGAUGAUUAUUGGAGGUAGAGCACUGUUUGGACGAGGGGCCCCUCUCGGGUUACCGAAUUCAGACAAACUCCGAAUGCCAAUUAAUUUAACUUGGGAGUCAGAACAUGGGUGAUAAGGUCCGUGUUCGAAAGGGAAACAGCCCAGACCACCAGCUAAGGUCCCAAAAUAUAUGUUAAGUGGAAAAGGAUGUGGCGUUGCCCAGACAACUAGGAUGUUGGCUUAGAAGCAGCCAUCAUUUAAAGAGUGCGUAAUAGCUCACUAGUCGAGUGACACUGCGCCGAAAAUGUACCGGGGCUAAACAUAUUACCGAAGCUGUGGAUUGUCCUUUGGACAAUGGUAGGAGAGCGUUCUAAGGGCGUUGAAGCAUGAUCGUAAGGACAUGUGGAGCGCUUAGAAGUGAGAAUGCCGGUGUGAGUAGCGAAAGACGGGUGAGAAUCCCGUCCACCGAUUGACUAAGGUUUCCAGAGGAAGGCUCGUCCGCUCUGGGUUAGUCGGGUCCUAAGCUGAGGCCGACAGGCGUAGGCGAUGGAUAACAGGUUGAUAUUCCUGUACCACCUAUAAUCGUUUUAAUCGAUGGGGGGACGCAGUAGGAUAGGCGAAGCGUGCGAUUGGAUUGCACGUCUAAGCAGUAAGGCUGAGUAUUAGGCAAAUCCGGUACUCGUUAAGGCUGAGCUGUGAUGGGGAGAAGACAUUGUGUCUUCGAGUCGUUGAUUUCACACUGCCGAGAAAAGCCUCUAGAUAGAAAAUAGGUGCCCGUACCGCAAACCGACACAGGUAGUCAAGAUGA
rnacentral:rRNA from 1 species